rnacentral:rRNA from 1 species
GAUGAACGCUGACAGAAUGCUUAACACAUGCAAGUCGACUCGAGUCUUCGGACUUGGGUGGCGCACGGGUGAGUAACGCGUAAAGAACUUGCCUCUUAGUCUGGGACAACAUCUGGAAACGGAUGCUAAUACCGGAUAUUAUGGUUUUUUCGCAUGGAGGAAUCAUGAAAGCUAGAUGCGCUAAGAGAGAGCUUUGCGUCCCAUUAGCUGGUUGGUGAGGUAACGGCCCACCAAGGCAAUGAUGGGUAGCCGACCUGAGAGGGUGAUCGGCCACACUGGGACUGAGACACGGCCCAGACUCCUACGGGAGGCAGCAGUAGGGAAUCUUCGGCAAUGGGGGGAACCCUGACCGAGCAACGCCGCGUGAGUGAAGAAGGUUUUCGGAUCGUAAAGCUCUGUUGUUAAGGAAGAACGAGUGUGAGAAUGGAAAGUUCAUGCUGUGACGGUACUUAACCAGAAAGGGACGGCUAACUACGUGCCAGCAGCCGCGGUAAUACGUAGGUCCCGAGCGUUGUCCGGAUUUAUUGGGCGUAAAGCGAGCGCAGGCGGUUAGAAAAGUCUGAAGUGAAAGGCAGUGGCUCAACCAUUGUAGGCUUUGGAAACUGUUUAACUUGAGUGCAGAAGGGGAGAGUGGAAUUCCAUGUGUAGCGGUGAAAUGCGUAGAUAUAUGGAGGAACACCGGUGGCGAAAGCGGCUCUCUGGUCUGUAACUGACGCUGAGGCUCGAAAGCGUGGGGAGCGAACAGG